UACGAGGGAUCCUAGCGUUGUUCGGAAUCAUUGGGCGUAAAGGGUGUGUAGGCGGCCAUAUAAGUCAGUUGUGAAAGCCCCGGGCUCAACCCGGGAAGUGCUUCUGAUACUGUAUGGCUUGAGUAUUGGAGAGGUGAGUGGAAUUCCAGGUGUAGUGGUGAAAUACGUAGAUAUCUGGAGGAACACCGGCGGCGAAGGCGGCUCACUGGCCAUAUACUGACGCUGAAACACGAAAGCGUGGGGAUCAAACAGG
rnacentral:rRNA from 1 species